rnacentral:SRP_RNA from 1 species
GCCAGGUGCAGUGGUGCAUGCCUGUCGUCCCAGCUACUAGGGAGGCUGAGGCUAGAGGAUUGCCUGAGUCCAGGAGUUCUGGGAUGUAGUGCGCUAUGCCAAUCGGGUGUCCGCACUAAGUUUGGCAUCAAUAUAGUGACCUCCCAGGAGUAGGGGACCACCAGGUUGCCUAAGGAGGGGUGAACCGGCCCAGGUCGGAAACAGAGCAGGUCAAAACUCCUGUGCCAAUCAGUAGUGGGAUUGCGCCUGUGAAUAGCCACUGCACUCCAGCCUGGGCAACAUAGCAAGAUCCUGGCUCU